GGGGAAGGGGCCGCGUAACGCAUGCAAGUCGAACGGUAGCACAGAGAGCUUGCUCUCGGGUGACGAGUGGCGGACGGGUGAGUAAUGUCUGGGAAACUGCCUGAUGGAGGGGGAUAACUACUGGAAACGGUAGCUAAUACCGCAUAACGUCGCAAGACCAAAGAGGGGGACCUUCGGGCCUCUUGCCAUCAGAUGUGCCCAGAUGGGAUUAGCUAGUAGGUGGGGUAACGGCUCACCUAGGCGACGAUCCCUAGCUGGUCUGAGAGGAUGACCAGCCACACUGGAACUGAGACACGGUCCAGACUCCUACGGGAGGCAGCAGUGGGGAAUAUUGCACAAUGGGCGCAAGCCUGAUGCAGCCAUGCCGCGUGUAUGAAGAAGGCCUUCGGGUUGUAAAGUACUUUCAGCGGGGAGGAAGGUGUUGUGGUUAAUAACCGCAGCAAUUGACGUUACCCGCAGAAGAAGCACCGGCUAACUCCGUGCCAGCAGCCGCGGUAAUACGGAGGGUGCAAGCGUUAAUCGGAAUUACUGGGCGUAAAGCGCACGCAGGCGGUCUGUCAAGUCGGAUGUGAAAUCCCCGGGCUCAACCUGGGAACUGCAUUCGAAACUGGCAGGCUAGAGUCUUGUAGAGGGGGGUAGAAUUCCAGGUGUAGCGGUGAAAUGCGUAGAGAUCUGGAGGAAUACCGGUGGCGAAGGCGGCCCCCUGGACAAAGACUGACGCUCAGGUGCGAAAGCGUGGGGAGCAGACAGGAUUAGAUACCCUGGUAGUCCACGCCGUACACGAUGUCGAUUUGGAGGUUGUGCCCUUGAGGCGUGGCUUCCGGAGCUAACGCGUUAAAUCGACCGCCUGGCGAGUACGGCCGCAAGGUUAAGACUCAGAUGAAUUGACGGGAGCGCGCACAAGCGGUGGAGCGUGUGUUUUAAUUCGAUGCAACGCGAAGAGCUUACCUGCUCUUGACAUCCAGAGAACUUUGCAAAGAUGUAUUGGUGCCUUCGCCAACUGGGAAACAGGUGCUGCGUGGCUGUCAUCACCUCCAGUUCUUCAAUGGUGGGAUAAGGUCCUUAACGAGCGGGAGGCUUUUCUUUUUUUGCCGGGGGUGGCCCGGGACUCGGCGCAAAAUGGCAAAAAAAAACCGGGGGACCCCCGG
rnacentral:rRNA from 1 species